UAGGAAUAUGCCUUAAAGAGGGGAUAACUUGGGGAAACUCAAGCUAGUACCGCAUAAUUUCUUCGGAAAAAGCUAGGGACCUUCGGGCCUGGCGCUUUAAGAUUAGCCUACGUCCGAUUAGCUAGUUGGUAGGGUAAAGGCCUACCAAGGCGACGAUCGGUAGCGGGUCUGAGAGGAUGACCAGCCACACUGGAACUGAGACACGGUCCAGACUCCUACGGGAGGCAG
rnacentral:rRNA from 1 species